rnacentral:rRNA from 1 species
GACAGAGGUGCCGAGCGUUAGGCGGAAUCACUGGGCUUAAAGCGUGUGUAGGCGGAUGGGUAAGUACCUUGUGAAAUCCCACGGCUCAACCGUGGAACUGCUCGGUAUACUGCUCGUCUUGAACCAACUAGGGGCGACCGGAACAAACGGUGGAGCGGUGAAAUGCGUAGAUAUCGUUUGGAACGCCGAUGGUGAAAACAGGUCGCUGGGGUUGUGCUGACGCUGAGACACGAAAGCCAGGGGAGCGAACGGG